AGCGAACGCUGGCGGCAGGCCUAACACAUGCAAGUCGAACGAACCUUUCGGGGUUAGUGGCGGACGGGUGAGUAACACGUGGGAACGUGCCUUUAGGUUCGGAAUAACUCAGGGAAACUUGUGCUAAUACCGAAUGUGCCCUUCGGGGGAAAGAUUAAUCGCCUUUAGAGCGGCCCGCGUCUGAUUAGCUAGUUGGUUGAGGUAAUGGCACACCAAGGCGACGAUCAGUAGCUGGUCUGAGAGGAUGAUCAGCCACAUUGGGACUGAGACACGGCCCAAACUCCUACGGGAGGCAGCAGUGGGGAAUCUUGCGAAAUGGGCGAAAGCCUGACGCAGCCAUGCCGCGUGAAUGAUGAAGGUCUUAGGAUUGUAAAAUUCUUUCACCGGGGACGAUAAUGACGGUACCCGGAGAAGAAGCCCCGGCUAACUUCGUG
rnacentral:rRNA from 1 species